UGCAUAUUCUUAGAUUUUUACAUUUUUAUUUUAAAACAGAGAAUUUCAUAUUGAUUAACACCUACUACUAAACAGAAUGAUGCAUUAAUUAAAUGCCUUGUCCUAACUGUUAUAAGCUCUGUUAGAAAAAUAAACAUCUCACCACAAACUACAGUGUCAGCUCUUUAAUAAAUACAUAAAACAGAAGUUAGUAGUCAAUCAGAGUUAUAUGAACAGGUUCAUAGUAUAUUAUGUGAAAGUAUCAUAUUCUCCAAUAUUCUGUAUCAUUUAAGACAAUUUAAGUUACGUAUAAUUCAAAGCCAGAAAUAAUAAGAAAUAUGUUCAGUGAUAAUUUGCUUCUUUCUUAGAGCUAUUUUAUAUUCAAAUAUUUAAUUUAAAAAUAUAUUCUAUUGAAGUAGGUUGCAGAGGCUAGAAGAAACCUGAUUAAUAGAGUUAGCUUACAAAGAUAAAUUUUAUGCAGAAAAGUAUUCCAGGUAGAUAAAAGAGUAGUGUUAUUACUCUCAGGUUUACAUUAACAGCUGCCCAGAUAGCUGAACAAUUAUUUCAUAUAAUUCAAAUAAUUUAAAUAUGCAGUUUUAUAACAGUCGUUACAUAAGCUUGAAGUUAAAGUGAUCAGAGCCAAGGGGGAAAAACCCACAAAUGAUAAAGAAGAAUAAAAAGUAAGAGGACUCUAGAAGAAAGUUGUUUUUCACAGCACUGAUUGUUUUUAUCAUAUUUUUCUCCUGCCAUUGAUACAAGACAUGUAAGAUGCUGCAAAACCUAACUAUGACAGUUCCAUGUAAUAUUUUUCCAGUUAAUUUUGUUUAAAAGUGAGAUGAUAAUAUAAAAGGAUCUCAUAUAAUAGAAUAAAAAUAAUAAAAAUUUGUUAAUGAAACGUAGACAUACCUACCCAUUCUUGUUAGUUAAGUUAGGGUUUGCUGAAAUCAUUCGCACUCACGUAAAGUAUAAAUGGGGACCUGAAAGAGCUUUUGUAAACUCAAGAUAUGCGGGAUCUGAGCUGAUAAUCAGUUAGGCUCCAUGUUGAGUUGUGCGUGACUCAGUUGUCCUUAAAUUUCGCCUUCAUAUUUUGUCAUAAAUGGGCUCUCAAAUCUUUAUAAGAAAACAAAAUUUGCCUAGAUGCAUAAACAUUUAGGUAAAGUUGGAUUAGUGUAAUAUUUAUUCAAGCAUAAUUUUAAACACUGCAUCUGAAGUGCCAACAGUUGCAAGAAAUGUCACAAUUUCAGAGAUGUUAAAUUGAAAAAGUGAUGUCUUGGAAUCAAUGAAAUAUAAAUAUGGAUAUGUAUAAUCAGUUAUACAUAAAAAUUUGCUAUAGAGGAAUUAUAAAAGAAAAGGAAAAUUAUUUGAAAGAAUGUUAGCUAUAUCUCAGUGGUCUGCAUUGCAUAAAAUGGAGUUCUUGAGGUCAAUAUAAAUAAGGAUAGUUGUAAAUUAAAUAUUGAGUCAACAUAACAGAAUGCAAUCUGCACAUGAUUGAGCUCCCAUGUAACUAUAUUUCACUUGAUACUUUUAUGAAAACAUAUAUAUUCCAAAUCCUUCAAAAUGAAAAGAAGCUCAAACAGUUGUGAAAAUUUAGAAUUCUUAGAUUUUAAUGGGUCUGUCUUUGUUCAGGGGCAAAGACUCAAAUGAGCUUUAAGAUCAAUUAAAGAUGUCUGGAAAUGAAGAACUUCAUUAUACCAUUAAAUUCAGUUAUUUUUCACUAUUAGGCUUAUUAAGCUUGAAGCUUUAGGAAAUCUCUUGGGAAGAGUGAGUGGAAAAAACAGGAGUAAGAAAAGGAAGAAAAAGCCUUUGAGUCUAAUCUACUCUACCAGGUUCCAGGAAGAAUAUAAUUCUACAGAGAAAAUUCUUCAUAAUCUAUCAUAAUAUAUUUCAGUGUCUGAUGGCUGACUCUUGUCUUGCAUAAAGAUAUCUUCAGUGGAUAUUAAGUAAAUAUUAAAAAUAUAUUUCAGAUUCAUUCUUUGAAGGAUUGCAUCUCAUGCAUCCACAAAUUUUAAUGUUGAGUUUUGGAAAAUUGCCUCCAGAGAUAUCUACUGUGUUUAAUCUUAGAUUUUUUUUUUAUUUUAAUAAACCAAAGAUAAACUGAACAUUUAAGACAUAAUCAGAUUUUUAGUGAAUUUUUAAGUCCUCCAGAAAAGUCUAUGACUUAAUAAAUAUUAGCAAGUUUCCAAAAAUAUAACAAAUGUUUAUAAAUACGUGUGCACUGCAGUGCAAUGGUGUCCCCAGAGAAAUAAAAUGCAUAACAAAGCAAAUGUUAUGUUGUAGUGUAUGUAUGGCACAUUUAUAAAUCAUUACAUACUUUAGGGCACAAAAAUGCUGCAGUACUAAAAGUGUUGUUCAAGUUCUCAAUUCUGUUAACAAUUUAAAAUUUCAUUAAUUGUGUUUAAUAUCAAUGAAUCUCAAAAGGCUCCUGUGGCCAUAUUAGUUGAAAAUAGACUCUAUUUGCAUACAUUAUUUAACCUAAGAGUACCCUGUGUUCCCUUACCAUUUAAUUAAUUCUAACUAGUCAAAUAUUAAUUCUCAUCUCACAAAUCAUUACACAGGAAGAUAUCAAUUAUUCAAGUAAAAUACAAGCCCUACAAUCUUUAAAAAUUAGCUUUUUAAGUAAAAACAAAAAAGAUAAGCACAAGACUUUGCAAGCAUAACCACAAUCAUCGUCUAACACUGAGUUGCCUACAAGGAAGUUUGUCCCUUCCUAUGGUAACAGCCUUGGUCCACUAUAAAGUUAGUGCAAACAAGUGAGGGUAUAAAAAAAAUAUAAACUCUGGAUUUUUAAGGAUUUCAUUUUGUUAUACUCUUUUUGGAUAAUUCAUUCCAUACGGAAAUUUGUUUAUUGUUCAUAAAUAUCAUAAUGUUCAUUUCAAAAAUUGUCAUCAUCUUAAUGGCUAUCUUACACUUUUUUCUUUUGGAGGGUUGUCAGGCAUCCAUCCAUUUUCCUUUUUAAGAAGAACGUUAUGUGUAUUAGGCUACUAAACCCAAUUUUUACAUUAUUUUUAGUGAUCAAAGGUUUCUUAUACAAGUGACUCACAGUACUGAAUUAUGUCAAUCUCUCAUUUGAGGAAGGAAAUGCAGUUCAAGUUAGCAUUGAAAGUGCUUGGCUGUAGAGGACAUCUAACAGAGCUGCUGUGUUUAUUGGCUCCAGAACAACUUAUUAUAGGUUUUUCAGUUCUCUUUAGGGUAGAAUAUGAGAUGGGGUUAGUCUUCAUCAAAAUGCAGUAUCUAGUACUUUAACUCAAGUGCUGGAAGACAGCAAAUCUUGGAAGUUUAUUAUAAAAAAAAAGAUAUUUCGGAUAGAUUCCUUUGUUGUCAUGGGCAAAACUGUAUAUCCACACAGGACUGUUAGACUCCUAGCCAAUAAAAUCAGACUAAGUCCAUAGGGAUAAGGUAAGUGUAAAUAAAUUUCCAUUGGGGAAGACAGGGCUCAUGGCCCGUGUAUCAAGGUCUCAAGCUGAGCACUGGAGAACUCCAGGGAACACUGUUCAUACAGGCUAUGGUGCGAAGGAAUUCCCCUGUAGGUAUGCCAUACUUCAGUCUCUUAAGAAGCUGAUUAGCAUGAAAGACUGGAAGCUGAUUAUGGACAAUUCAGUUUGAAUUAUUCCUUUCUAUUUUGCUUUGAACUUUCCUCAUACACUUAAGACAUGAGUAAAUCACAUUGAAAAACAUUUGCCAAUUGAAUAUUUUAAAGAUUCAAGAGGUAGCAUGAUAUUGUGCAAUGAACACUGGCCUGACAAUGAGAAGAUAAAAACUCCUUUCCAAUGUGGCCACUUUAUCACUUGAGUGUUUUCUGAGAAAUCGUUUAAGUUUUCUGAGGCUCAGUUCCCUAACUCACUAAAAAGGAGAAUUAGCAGCCUGGCAUGGUGGCUCAUGCCUGUAAUCCCAACACUCUGGGAGGCCGAGGAGGGUAGAUCACCUGAGGUCAGGAGUUUGAGAUCAACCUGUCCAACAUGGCAAAACCCCGUCUCUACUAAAAAUACAAAAAUUAGCUGGGCACGGUGGUGGAUGCCUGUAAUCCCAGCUACUCAGGAGGCUGAGGCAGGAGAACUGCUUGAACCCGGGAGGCAGAGGUUGCAGUGAACCCUAAUUGCGCCAUUGCACUUCAGCCUGGGUGACAAGAGUGAAACUCCGUCUCAAAAAAAAAAAAAAAAAAAAAAAAAGCUUAUUUCUAAGAUAUCAUCUAUUCUCCAAUUUUGUACUUUUAUGAAUUCUGGCAAGAAGGGUUGGAGUGAUUCUGGGAAAGAACAUCCUUAGGCUGCCUUGAAGGGAGAAGAUAAUAUAGCUUUUCAUUUAAAAAAUGCUGAUAUCUACUUGCAAUCAAAAUCUAAGAAAACAUUCAAAAUGUGGUACUUUGCUUGAGGCAGAAUUUCUAACUAUCUUGUGAAUUAAUGAUAAGAUAAAUGAAAUGGCCAAACAAUCCCUUCAGUUUACCAGGUAAGAGGAUACAAAACUCCACACUUGUGCACAAUGAAGCUAUUCAGGUUUUGAUGAUACUUUACAGUGUCCCCUAUUAACAUUCAGCUUUUAAAACUAGUAUUCUGAUAAAGUGACAUUGUAUUAUUAGUUUUUUAUGGCAGUAGUAACUUAGCACUUAAUUAAUCCAGUCAUCUGUGACAUACAUAAACUUAUCCUGUAAAAAAGA
rnacentral:lncRNA from 1 species